rnacentral:rRNA from 1 species
GGGAGCAUGUGGUUUAAUUGGAUGCAACGGGAAGAACCUUACCUACUCUUGACAUCCAGAGAAUUUAGCAGAGAUGGUUUGGUGCCUUGGGGAACUUUGAGACAGGUGGUGCAGGGGUGUUGUGAGCUUGUGUUGUGAAAUGUGGGGUAAAGUCCCGAAAAGAGCGAAACCUUUUUCUUUUGUCCCCACGCGUUUAGGUGGGGAACUCAAAGGAGACGCCCGGUGAUAAACGGGAGGAAGGUGGGGAGGACGUCAAUUCUUCAGGCCCCUUAGGCCUGGGGUUCCCCCCGGGUUCCAAUGGCGGAUCAAAGGGGAGGCGAUCUCGGGAGGGCAGGGAAUCCUCAUAAACCCGUUUCUAGUCGGGAUGGGGGUCUGCAAUCUG